UUUGCUUGGAAGAAUGGAGAGCAUUGGAUCUAGUGCCAGAUGAGUGGUUACUUGUCUCGCCAGGAGAAUGGACAUCUGCUUUCGGAAAAUCAGAGCCAGCCGUAGCCUAGCAGGGUUCACUCGGAGACACAUAGGCGCUACCGGAGCAAUGACUAACUUUGCCUCUUAAUGGGGUGGGGACCUCCUCUUUGCUCGGAGCUGUCUGCAAGUCAUUCAAGCAAUUAGGUAAACUCUAGGUUGCUGUCCAUAGAGGACCGGUUGGCUGCUCUGGAGUCGAAAAACUGUGCGGGAGAGACAAACUUUAAGAAGAGAAGACUGGUGCACAAUCCCAAGCUUGCGGAAGCAGUACGCCGUCUUCACAACUCGGAGAAAAAUUGCAGGCGCUACGAACCGG